rnacentral:lncRNA from 1 species
GGAAAAUAGUCCAUGGAGCUAAACAAGACAAACUAAGGUUUUGGAACUGAAUGAGCUCUGAAAAUGCACUAAUAAAUGAUUACCAUUUACAUCUGUGUGUAAAGCCAGACUUGGAUCUGUGUGUGUGUCAUGCACAAGGAAGAGAGAGAAAAUAUACCCUUCACUG